rnacentral:misc_RNA from 1 species
UUUUCGCGUUAGGGAUUGGAGCGAAAAGCCCGUAGUUGCUGCAAGCAACGCGGACUUGCAGCAGAAAGCCCGACCCAAA